UACGGGGGGAGCAAGCGUUGUUCGGAAUUACUGGGCGUAAAGGGCGCGUAGGCGGCCUUCUAAGUCGGACGUGAAAUCCCUCGGCUUAACCGAGGAACUGCGUCCGAUACUGAAAGGCUUGAAUCCGGGAGAGGGAUGUGGAAUUCCAGGUGUAGCGGUGAAAUGCGUAGAUAUCGGGAGGAAUACCGAUGGCGAAGGCAGGUCUCUGGGCUGACACUGACGCUCAUGCACGAAAGCGUGGGGAGCAAACAGG
rnacentral:rRNA from 1 species